CGUAGUUGGCCGGGCCUUCUUCUGGAGGUACCGUCAUUUUCUUCCCUCCUGAAAGCGGUUUACAACCCGAAGGCCUUCAUCCCGCACGCGGUGUCGCUGCAUCAGGCUUUCGCCCAUUGUGCAAUAUUCCCUG
rnacentral:rRNA from 1 species